rnacentral:lncRNA from 10 species
CAAGUGGGCUGAGUCAGAGAAAGGAGUCAGCGAAGGGUGGUGGGAGUGGAACUGGUUCUAUAGGUUUGGGGUAGGUAGUGGAAAGUUACAGUUAGGGGCAGUUUUUUUGGGCAGGGGAAGAAUGUUACAAGGUGCAUAGUCACAAGGUGGGGGAAGUCAUAAGGCACGAUAUCACAAGGUGGAUGGAUUAGUUGGGGAAGGGCAGGAACAUAUCACAAGGUGGAUGGAUUAAUUAGGGUAGGGAAGGAACAUAUCACAAGGUGGAUGGAUUAGUUAGGGUAGGGCAGGAACAUGUCACAGUGGUGGAUGGAUUAGUUGGGGAAGGGCAGGAACAUAUCACAAGGUGGAUGGAUUAGUUAGGGUAGGGAAGGAACAUAUCACAAGGUGGAUGGAUUAGUUAGGGUAGGGCAGGAACAUGUCACAGUGGUGGAUGGAUUAGUUAGGGUAGGGCAGGAACAUGUCACAAGGUGGAUGGAUUAGUUAGGGUAGGGCAGGAACAUGUCACAAGGUGGAUGGAUUAGUUGGGGAAGGGCAGGAACAAUCACAAGGUGGAUGGAUUAGUUGGGGAAGGGCAGGAACAUAUCACAAGGUGGAUGGAUUAGUUGGGGAAGGGCAGGAACAUGUCACAAUGGUGGAUGGAUUAGUUGGGGAAGGGCAGGAACAUGUCACAAUGGUGGAUGGAUUAGUUGGGGAAGGGCAGGAACAUAUCACAAGGUGGAUGGAUUAGUUAGGGUAGGGCAGGAACAUGUCACAGUGGUGGAUGGAUUAGUUGAGGAAGGGCAGGAACAUGCCACAAGGUGGAUGGAUUAGUUGGGGAAGGGCAGGAACAUAUCACAAGGUGGAUGGAUUAGUUAGGGUAGGGCAGGAACAUGUCACAGUGGUGGAUGGAUUAGUUGAGGAAGGGCAGGAACAUGCCACAAGGUGGAUGGAUUAGUUGGGGAAGGGCAGGAACAUAUCACAAGGUGGAUGGAUUAGUUAGGGUAGGGAAGGAACAUAUCACAAGGUGGAUGGAUUAGUUGGGGAAGGGCAGGAACAUAUCACAGUGGUGGAUGGAUUAGUUGGGGAAGGGCAGGAACAUAUCACAAGGUGGAUGGAUUAGUUGGGGAAGGGCAGGAACAUAUCACAGUGGUGGAUGGAUUAGUUGGGGGAAGGGCAGGAACAUAUCACAAGGUGGAUGGAUUAGUUAGGGUAGGGCAGGAACAUAUCACAAGGUGGAUGGAUUAGUUGGGGAAGGGCAGGAACAUAUCACAAGGUGGACUGUUGCAAGGUCGGUUAAUCAUUAAGGCAGGAACUAGCUGUUCCGUCUUCUUUAG